UAGGGUGAAAAUUCAAGAGAAAAUUGGUGGAUUUCAAGUAAUCAAGCAAUCAAAGGUAAAAUUUCUUGAUUUUGACUUGUGAUCUACCUUUCCCAUACAUUCUUUUGCAUUUUCCAUGGUUGAAUCACAUGAUUUCAUGAUGGGUAUCUUGCUGGCUGAACACUUAGAGAGAGGUUUUGAUGCUUGAUUUGGUUAGAUUUCAAUGUAUUUUAGUGUUUUUAGUUAGUUAGUGAUGUGUAGCAUGAAAAGCCAACAAGAAAAAUUCAUUUUCUCCCAUCACCCAUCAUUGGCCGAAUUCUCCAUGUAGAAUAUUGAUGAUGAUUUUGAUUUUAUUUCAAGUGAUUUGGUUAGGAAUUAGUGAUUUAUGGUGUGAGAAUCAAGCUUGAAAAAUUAUAAUGUUGAUGCACCCACCAUGGCCGAAUUUUCCAAGAGAAAAUGUGAGGAUGAUUUUGCCAUAUUUCAAGUUAUUUAAUUUGUGUUUGAUGAUUUGGAGUAUUGGGAGAAAAAUGAAAUUAUUUGUAGUUGAAUUAGACGUAUUGGCCAAUUAAUCGAGUGACAGAUCGAAUUAGGCCAAUACCAUUUAAUUUAGGUACACAAUUGAAUUUGUAAAACACCGUGUUUAAACGAUAAUCCGAACAAUUGGCAUUCCAUUUCAUGCAUUAGUAAAGAGCCUGAAAUAGAUUUAUAAUGGUAUGACACAGUAUAUUGAAUUAUGUGUCGUGUAUUGUAUAUAGGUGGUGAGCCCUCUAACAAGGGUAAAGACGUUGUGUCAGAGGACUGAGAAUAGGAGUAUUUCAAACUCCUAAUACUGUGAGUAACCUUACUAUCGUCUUAAUUAUCCAAAGUAGUUUUUAAUCGUUUUUGUGAUUUUAUGGAAAAUGAGUUUAAAUGGUAAAUCUUUAUGUUUUAUAAGCAAAAUGUGAUUAAAUGAAAAUGAUUUUAUAAAAUUGUCUUGAAAUUGAAAGAUGGUUUUGAAAAUGGAGUAAUUGGAGACUAAUUGUUG
rnacentral:lncRNA from 1 species